rnacentral:rRNA from 1 species
CCAGACUCCUACGGGAGGCAGCAGUGGGGAAUAUUGGGCAAUGGGCGCAAGCCUGACCCAGCAACGCCGCGUGAAGGAAGAAGGCUUUCGGGUUGUAAACUUCUUUUCUUGGGGACGAAGAAAGUGACGGUACCCAAGGAAUAAGCCACGGCUAACUACGUGCCAGCAGCCGCGGUAAUACGUAGGUGGCAAGCGUUAUCCGGAUUUACUGGGUGUAAAGGGCGUGUAGGCGGGGACGCAAGUCAGAUGUGAAAACCACGGGCUCAACCUGUGGCCUGCAUUUGAAACUGUGUUUCUUGAGUACUGGAGAGGCAGACGGAAUUCCUAGUGUAGCGGUGAAAUGCGUAGAUAUCAGGAGGAACACCGGUGGCGAAGGCGGCCUGCUGGACAGUAACUGACGUUGAGGCUCGAAAGCGUGGGGAGCAAACAGGAUUAGAUACCCUGGUAU